ACGGGUGAGUAACGCGUGGGUAAUCUACCUGAAAGUCCGGGAUAACAGCUCGAAAGGGAUGCUAAUACCGGAUGUGGUCACUGGGUGGCAUCACCUGGUGAAGAAAGGGUUUUGGCCCGCUUUCAGAUGAGCCCGCGUCCCAUUAGCUAGUUGGUGAGGUAAUGGCUCACCAGGCGACGAUGGGUAGCCGGCCUGAGAGGGUGGUCGGCCACACUGGAACUGAGACACGGUCCAGACUCCUACGGGAGGCAGCAGUAGGGAAUCUUGCGCAAUGGGCGAAAGCCUGACGCAGCGACGCCGCGUGGACGAAGAAGGCCUUCGGGUUGUAAAGUCCUGUCAGGGGGGAAGAAGGAAGUGACGGUACCCCCAGAGGAAGCCCCGGCUAACUACGUGCCAGCAGCCGCGGUAAUACGUAGGGGGCGAGCGUUGUCCGGAAUCACUGGGCGUAAAGCGCGCGUAGGCGGCCGCUCAAGUCCGAUGUGAAAAGCCUCGGCUCAACCGAGGUCCUGCAUUGGAAACUGGGUGGCUUGAGGGCAGGAGAGGGAAGCGGAAUUCCCGGUGUAGCGGUGGAAUGCGUAGAUAUCGGGAGGAACACCAGUGGCGAAGGCGGCUUCCUGGACUGUUUCUGACGCUGAGGCGCGAAAGCUAGGGGAGCGAACAGGAUUAGAUA
rnacentral:rRNA from 1 species